rnacentral:rRNA from 1 species
AUGCACGCUGGCGGCGUGCCUCAUACAUGCAAGUCGCGCGAACGGACGAGAAGCUUGCUUUUCUGAUGUUAGCGGCGGACGGGUGAGUAACACGUGGAUAACCUACCUAUAAGACUGGGAUAACUUCGGGAAACCGGAGCUAAUACCGGAUAAUAUUUUGAACCGCAUGGUUCAAAAGUGAAAGACGGUCUUGCUGUCACUUAUAGAUGGAUCCGCGCUGCAUUAGCUAGUUGGUAAGGUAACGGCUUACCAAGGCAACGAUGCAUAGCCGACCUGAGAGGGUGAUCGGCCACACUGGAACUGAGACACGGUCCAGACUCCUACGGGAGGCAGCAGUAGGGAAUCUUCCGCAAUGGGCGAAAGCCUGACGGAGCAACGCCGCGUGAGUGAUGAAGGUCUUCGGAUCGUAAAACUCUGUUAUUAGGGAAGAACAUAUGUGUAAGUAACUGUGCACAUCUUGACGGUACCUAAUCAGAAAGCCACGGCUAACUACGUG